CCUACGGGAGGCUGCAGUGGGGAAUUUUGGACAAUGGGCGCAAGCCUGAUCCAGCCAUGCCGCGUGCGGGAAGAAGGCCUUCGGGUUGUAAACCGCUUUUGUCAGGGAAGAAACGCCUUAGGAUAAUACCUUGAGGUAAUGACGGUACCUGAAGAAUAAGCACCGGCUAACUACGUGCCAGCAGCCGCGGUAAUACGUAGGGUGCAAGCGUUAAUCGGAAUUACUGGGCGUAAAGCGUGCGCAGGCGGUUGUACAAGACAGAUGUGAAAUCCCCGGGCUUAACCUGGGAACUGCAUUUGUGACUGUACGGCUAGAGUGCGGCAGAGGGGGAUGGAAUUCCGCGUGUAGCAGUGAAAUGCGUAGAUAUGCGGAGGAACACCGAUGGCGAAGGCAAUCCCCUGGGCCUGCACUGACGCUCAUGCACGAAAGCGUGGGGAGCAAACAGGAUUAGAUACCCCGGUAGUC
rnacentral:rRNA from 1 species